AGUGAACGCUGGCGGUAGGCCUAACACAUGCAAGUCGAACGGCAGCACAGUAAGAGCUUGCUCUUACGGGUGGCGAGUGGCGGACGGGUGAGGAAUACAUCGGAAUCUACUUUUUCGUGGGGGAUAACGUAGGGAAACUUACGCUAAUACCGCAUACGACCUACGGGUGAAAGCAGGGGAUCUUCGGACCUUGCGCGAUUGAAUGAGCCGAUGUCGGAUUAGCUAGUUGGCGGGGUAAAGGCCCACCAAGGCGACGAUCCGUAGCUGGUCUGAGAGGAUGAUCAGCCACACUGGAACUGAGACACGGUCCAGAAUCCUACGGGAGGCAGCAGUGGGGAAUAUUGGACAAUGGGCGCAAGCCUGAUCCAGACAUACCGCGUGGGUGAAGAAGGCCUUCGGGUUGUAAAGCCCUUUUGUUGGGAAAGAAAAGCAGCAGGUUAAUACCCCGCUGUUCUGACGGUACCCAAAGAAUAAGCACCGGCUAACUUCGUG
rnacentral:rRNA from 1 species